ensembl:snoRNA
CACCCAUGAUGACUCGCCAUGCUAAUACCGAGGCACCAAGGGAGUCAACUGGCCCUGAACUUGGGUGUCUGUGAGUUAAAAUUGCUUCUCACAGGAAGUCCUGAGGUGU